AACGAUUGUUUUCAUAAAAGUAUUUGUUCAACGAGAUUUCAGUCUGGACAAAAAAAAAAAAAGAGCCAUUUAGUCAUCAUCCAGCUGAUGGGAAUCGUUGAGAAGCCACAAUAAUAAUUUGACAAAACAAUCUCAAAUCAAGGUCCACUUACUAGCUAUUUUCUGAGCUUUUAGCCACGAUCUCACAGACUUCAUGAGCGGAUAAAGUAAGCUCAGUUGUCAUGGGGUUGAGGGUAAAUCUUUUGCUUAAAGAAGGCCAUGAGUAGCAGCUGAAA